UGCAGUACAGUCGCUAGAGCACUUGCCUAACAAGCAUGAGACCCUGGGUUUGAUUCCCAGUACUGUAU
rnacentral:tRNA from 1 species